AAGCCAUCCGAACGAUACCUAUCUCUGGCUUUUACAAAAUGCCAUCAGUCUUGGAUUUGACAAAAACUCUCUACAGAAAGCUUGUUGUGGAAUAUGAGGAGAUUAUAAUUAUGACUUACAUAAUCAAUGUGGAGCUAUAGGAGUUCCGGUGUGCAUUGACCCGAGUACUUACAUCAGCUGGGAUGGAGCUCAUUUGACACAAGAAGCAUACAGUUGGUUGACAAGAUGGCUAAUUGAUACUAAUAUCUUACCCCAAUUGAAUUGUCAAGCUUAAGUGUAUGAAUCAGAAAGCAUAUUCAAAAUAAGCGCUCCUUCUUUUUACACGGCGCAGUGCCGAUUUAAGACAUUAUUGAGAUGAUUGAUUGAUGACAUUAUUGAAGCCCUAUUGAAAUGGCAAGUGCAUUAAAUCAACAUUGCUUUCCUGAAUGCUUUUCUUUUUUAUUCUCCAUUUCUCUCAAUAUGAACAAAUCAAAUAGCAAGUACUUUCUCUUUUUUAUGUUUCGACUGUUUUUGUGUUUCAUAAUAUUAAGGGGUUCAUGUCCAAAGUUCAGACGUAACUAGAAAUCAAAAUUCAGUGUUGUUUUA